UGAAUGAAGAAUGUAAAAAGUCAGAACU
rnacentral:piRNA from 1 species